rnacentral:rRNA from 1 species
AUUGAACGCUGGCGGCAGGCCUAACACAUGCAAGUCGAACGAGUGGCGGACGGGUGAGUAAUGUCUGGGAAACUGCCUGAUGGAGGGGGAUAACUACUGGAAACGGUAGCUAAUACCGCAUACCAUCAGGGGUGCCCAGAGGGGAGUAGCGAGUUGGUGGGGUAACGGCUCACCAAGGCGACGAUCCCUAGCUGGGCGGAGAGGAGGACCAGCCACACUGGAACUGUGGCACGGGCCAGCCUCCUACGGGAGUCAGCAGGGGGGAAUAUUGCACAAGGGGCGCAAGCCUGAUGCAGCCAUGCCGCGUGUAUGAGGAAGGCCUUCGGGUUGUAAAGUACUUUCAGCGUGGAGGCGUUACCCGCAGAAGAAGCACCGGCUAACUCCGUGCCAGCAGCCGCGGUAAUUC